AAGAAUGCAAUGUCAAUUGUUAAAAGUAGUAAGCAUGAAAGAAAUAAAUAUUUUAAACACAUAUCGUAUUGUCCCGAAGUAUCAUCACCAUUUUGAAGAACCAGUCCGGAGUCCAGGGAGAAAGGCGGAGAAAGAGGCAGGAGGAGAAAGUGGAAGGAAACCUCGGCCUGGCAAAUAGUACAAUGGAAUAUGGAAUAUGACAUGCAGGCGAUAAAGUUAUGCCGGAGACACACCAAAAAGGACGCAGGACGAAACGGGACUAAAGGACGCAAAAGGACGACGGACACGGUACGCCGGAGAGGCUGAAAGGCAAUUCCUAUUGGGGACACUUAAAUGCAUCAGCCAUGCGAAAAUCAACGCCUACGAUGGGUUUUUUUUUUAACUAAACACUAUGAGAAAUUUAGGUUUUAAUAUAUUGUAUUUUUUAAUAUUUUAAAAAAUAGUAUUGAUACAUUUAAAUGUAUAUUUUCAAUUAAUAAUCAAUUAAU